rnacentral:rRNA from 1 species
GAUGAACGCUGGCGGCGUGCCUAAUACAUGCAAGUCGAACGCACAGUUUAUACCGUAUCUUGCUACACCAUAGACUGUGAGUUGCGAACGGGUGAGUAACGCGUAGGUUACCUGCCUGGUAGCGGGGGAUAACUAUUGGAAACGAUAGCUAAUACCGCAUAAUAUUAAUUAUUGCAUGAUAAUUAAUUGAAAGGUGCAAUUGCACUCCUACCAGAUGGACCUGCGUUGUAUUAGCUAGUAGGUGAGGUAACGGCUCACCUAGGCGACGAUACAUAGCCGACCUGAGAGGGUGAUCGACCAAACUGGGACUGAGACACGGCCCAGACUCCUACGGGAGGCAGCAGUAGGGAAUCUUCGGCAAUGGACGAAAGGCUGACCGAGCAACGCCGCGUGAGUGAAGAAGGUUUUCGGAUCGUAAAGCUCUGUUGUAAGAGAAGAACGGGUAUGAGGGUGGAAAGUUCACACUGUGACGGUAUCUUACCAGAAAGGGACGGCUAACUACGUG